AUGUGCGAUGAGCCUAAAAUAGAUAAUAGUACACAAGAACCAAUGAAUUGUACAAAUCACACAGCAUAUGUUCAAUGUCUGCCGGCACCAAAUAUUACUUGCAAAGAUCACCUUGGCAUAGAAAAAGUCUUUACAGGACAUGAAGUUGGAUUUUACAAGCCCAUUGCAUGUCGCAAUGUAAAUGGAUACUCCUACAAAGUGGCAGUGGCUCUGUCCUUGUUUCUUGGAUGGUUGGGAGCAGAUAGAUUUUAUCUAGGCUAUCCUGCAUUAGGUUUGUUAAAGUUCUGCACUGUAGGAUUUUGUGGAAUUGGUAGCCUAAUUGAUUUCAUACUUAUUUCAAUGCAGAUCGUUGGACCUUCCGAUGGCUCUAGUUACAUUAUAGAUUACUAUGGAGCAAGGCUUACACGGCUCACUAUUACCAAUGCAACAUUCAGGAAAAUGCAGACCUAUCCUUAACCCUGGCAAGUCUUCUUCAAAGUUCCUUGGAUUUACCAUGGGGAAAACAUGGCAAGAACACGUAAGAGGAGAUCACUGCCUAUGAAGAACUGACUGAGUGUUCACCUUGAGUCUGACAAGACUGCCCACCAUAUGGAUUGUGUUGGCAGAGGCAGAAGCCUGGGGAAUGCAGAGCCAGGUCCAGCUGCCAUUUUGAUUUCUCUCCACCUUGGUGGCUGUCUCUGGACCUCUGCAGCAUUCAUCCUGCCAUAUGCUAUUGCAGAGUCAUUAGUUACAUAUGACACCUAAGGAAGCCCCAAACCACGGUGUUCUCGGUGACAAUGCAGGAUGCCUGGACCCCUGGUGAUUCUGGCCAAGAAGCAGCACUCCUUGAACCCUUCCCGGCCCCAGCUGCAGCGCAGAUUGGGCUGGAAGCUGCAUCUGCGCCCGUUGGCAAGGUCCCAGCAAAGGGCAGUCGCAGCACCGCCACACCGAGAGCACUGAUGCCAAUCCCCACCGGUGGGAACCCCCCGGAGACGCAGGGAACAGGGGGCAGCAGGAGGCAGCCUUCAUGGAGCUCCUGGAGAUGCAGAUGAAGUGAUGAUGAUUCCCACCUUGUCUGCAGGAACAGCAGUGUGUCAGAGCAUAUUAUUGGUCCGCUACAUCCCGGUGUCUGAAGCAACACGUGGGGCUGCUGUUCCUCCUGCCGCCCACAGAGCUGGUAGCACCUGGAACGUGGCUGAGCCUUCCCUGGACCCCUCUCCCCUGGACCCCAAAGGUCAUUGAAACAAGCACUGCCCGCGGCAACCCUGGGAGCUGAGAUCCAUGGCGUGGCUUGACUUUAGGCUCUACUGCCUUGGGCCAGCUCAGCACUCUCGUCGACGAGCUAAAACCUUGUGUGAUCACAUUACUAUUGCUCCCAUUGCUUUUAAGAGAGCUUGUACAGAACUCUAUUUCUGCAGUUUGCAUGCCCAUAAAAACCAUCCAGAAUACAGUAAGGUGAGGAAGAAACACCAUGAAUUUUCAUCAUAUUGGUAUUUCUGGCACAAUUUACAUUGUGACUAUGUCCCUGAUGAGGAGGAGCAAUAAAUACCCUCUGCAAAGCUCAUAUUGCAAUGGAUGGGAGAGGAAACAGCGACCCGAAGGGUGUCAUAUUCUGGAAACCCGACCUGGAAAGAAGGAUCCACAAUUAACGACAUGGGUGAACAAAGAUGAGACUAUUCUUAAAAGCUAUUGUGCCAAUGGCAGCAAACAAAGCCGGGUGUACGUAGUGGACGGAAGAUAACAAUCCAUUUUGUGCACGUAGUGAGAAAGAUGAAGGCCAACUGUCUCCAGCACACAAAACCUCUGGUUAUCUCAACCAGCUGUUUUCCCAGAGCGGUGUUUGAAGAAACUGGUUUUUAAGGGGUGUGCAUGGGGGUGACUUAGACUGCUGCUCUUGCGAGCUCUGUUCACGUUCUCACUUCCACACAGAGGGCAUGCAGGCCUGCCAUCACUCCUGCCCUGUUUCUGGAGCUGGAUGACCAAACCAUCCUCUUUCAUGUUGCUCAUGCCCCACGAUCCUCUUCCGGUGCAGUGAUGUGGCAGCCUUUAAAGUCCCUUUCCAGUGUACCAUCCAAGAAGAAAUCCCCCAAAUCAUGAACCAGCUGUGCCUCCACUGGUCUGUCUCAUGAUGAGGACUUAGAAAGGGAAUGAAAUAUCUGAGAUGGGCAUAACGGCACAAUGUUGAACUGCUGACCUCAAGAGUUCAAACAUAUUCAUGGCUGCACUACAUAGUGCUUCACGUGUCCACAUGAAUCCCUCACCCUUCCCUGUAGCCAAACCACAGGAGUUUGGCUGGGGCAGCGUCCUGUGGCAGCAGGGAAGGACCCUUGGCUUGACCGGACAGCGAGAAGCUGGAGCUGCACCAGCCGGCAGCGACACAAAGGGAGUUAAAUCAGUCCGGUCCAUUGAAAAGUCAUGAGUCUCACCUCAAAAUCCUUUUCAGAAGUGUAUUUUAUCUGAUUUUCCUUCGUUUCCUGGCUCCAGAGCGUGCAUUUUCAAGCCUUGCUUCUACAGCUGAAAUGAUGAGAAAUUUCCUUUCCUUCAGCGGGAAGCCAGGAGGCUCCCAUCCGCGCAGGACUGCCCGUGCUGCUGCAGCUUUGCAAGUAUCAUCAGGCUGCAAGAUUUCACACCGCCGUCGCCCCUCUGCCUGCCCCAUAGCAAGGGCAGUCAGCAUUUCCAACGGCAUCAGGUGCAAACGCCACUGCAGCCAGCAGCUCUCGCCCUGUGGCACAGGUUCUGCCGCCAGAGCACCCCGAUGCUGCGUCCUCCAUGGGUGGCACAGGGUGUGUGUCGGCUGGGAGGAGAGCUCUCCAUCGCUCAUCCUUUGCCUUUUAAAGAAUUGCCCCAGGCUAUUUUCUCCUCCUUUGCAUCAGACAAUAACUGAGAUAAUUUCAGCCCUUUCCUCCCCUCCCCGUGCCACAGGGAAUGGGAGACCUCACUAGCUUUCCUGCCCCGCGUCCAGGGUGACCAUUCCGAAAUCUCACUGGGGAAAUGCUCUUCCUCUCCAGGAACAUCAGACAUCAUGUUGGAUGUUGCCAUUCAACUGCGCCCACCAGUGCUGCAAGCAGUGGCCAAGCAGCUGCUCCUCUUCCAACCUUCCUUUGGAAAGAAAACAAAAAAACACCCUAAACACCUCCCAAAUGGUGCAAAAAUAUUAAUUAGGAAUAAGAAAAACUUCCCCAAACCCCAACUUGGGGGCUGUAAAGCUGGGGGAUCACAGCCCAGUGACAUGGGCUCUCAACCGGGGAGGCAUCCCAGCUGAGAAAAUGCUGGGAAAAUGCCUUUUUCUUCAUCCAGGUGGGUUGUGGGAGGGCUCCAGCCUGGGGUGCUGAGGGAAGAGGGGACGUUUAGGAAGAUUUACACGUGGGAUCUUUGUAUUGUCCCUCCUGUCCUUUUUCAAUAAGGAAAAUCGGCCCAUUUCCCUGCGUGGAGAAACUGAGGCUGCUUGGCACCCCUGGGGAUGGGGCAAGGGGGGUCGGUGGGUUCCCUGCUAAGCUGCAUGUUUCCUAAAUAAAUAACCACCAUAUGCCCCGUCAGGGUGUUCCUCAAGCCAAAAACCUCCCCUUUGGGGUCCCCUUGGCAUCCCCGGCUGAGCC